rnacentral:misc_RNA from 1 species
AUCACAUCUGGUAAAACAGGCUUGAGUGUUGCAGCUUUGUUAUUUGGGGACGUCCCCACAUUUGAAAGGUAGCAAGGGGCUGAUGAGGUCGCCCAGUGCACACUACAAGGAACCUGACUCCAUGUUGCUCAAGAAGUCCUGGUCCUCUCACGAAGGGACACAGCUCAGCGCCAGGUGAUCCGGGAUCCCUGUCCCCCAGGGCAGUCAGAGUCAGGCCAAGGUCACAUCAAGGCAACAGAGCUGAUGUUCAAAUCCAUACUUUACUAUAGGGAAUCCAUGUAUGAUUUCUUUCUGUUAUUGUCAGAAUCUCUGGAAGCACCCUGGGUUUUUUUAAAUGUGCAUACUUGCUGAAAUCAGAUGUUCUGCCUGUAACUCUGUGAAAUUGUUGUGUGUCUGUGAUAUUGAAGAGAUAACUGUAAUUACUGAGUGGCUUGUCAUAGUACAUAUACCAAUUGAGGGAAGUUACAACAAGGGGAUCCAAAAGAAUUAUGUGUCACAAUAGGUGACUUUCACAUUCUUAAAUAUUAUCCUAUGGGUCAGCAAAAUAAACAUUUUUUGUUU